ensembl:lncRNA
AGUCAAAAGCAUGAAUUUCAAAACAAAGUUUACUUAUGAAAAUGUUAUACACUUUUCCAUUUGAAAAGGCUCAUUAGUCCUUUAUGAAUGUUAUUUAUUUAUUUAUUUUCUGUUUUAAUAAAUGCACUUUAUGGGAUUGUUAUUCAUUAGACAAAAGCAAAAAUUCAGGAGGAGUCCUUAAAUCUUGAUGCAAUAAAGACAGACUUGGCAGUAACACAUGACACGCUUAUAGAUUGGACCAAUGAAAUCCAGCAAUGGGCUGAUACAGCAACAAGUGAGGAGAACACAGACAGUCAGCAGGUGCUCCAGAAGACUAUUGAGACGCUUUAUGUGAGCAUCAGGCAGAGAAAGCAAGAUCUUUACCGUCAAUCAGAUGGGAACAAGAGAAGACACAAACUCCGAAGAAAGAUUUUGGAAGAAAAAGCCAAAUUUUGUGCAGCUGUAGAUGACUACAACAGGGCAGCAACUGAAAAACUGCAGUCAGCUGAUACAAUACUGGCAUCUGAGAGCUAUGCAUGGCCAUGGGUCCUUGAUGAACGUGAUAAUCUUGCAACCAAAAAAAAGGCCUUUGACCAACUGAUGCUGCUGAACCGGCUUACUGAAGAGGAGUGCAUUGUUCUGAAAGAAAUCCG